GACAGAGGGUGCAAACGUUGCUCGGAAUUAUGUACGUGGGCGUAAAGCGCGUGUAGGUGGAUUGGUGUGUCAGGAUCGUGAAAGCCCUGGGCAUCAACCCAGGAACUGCACCUGAAACUACCAGUCUUGAGUGGUGGAGAGGGAAGUGGAAUUCCUGGUGUAGAGGUGAAAUUCGUAGAUAUCAGGAGGAACACCCAGUGGCGAAAGGCGGCUUCCUGGACACCAAUUGACGCUGAGACGACGAAAGCGUGGGGAGCAAACAGG
rnacentral:rRNA from 1 species